AUCCAGCUGACGAGUCCCAAAUGGGGCGAAACGCCUAUCCUAGAU
rfam:Schistosoma mansoni strain Puerto Rico chromosome 1, complete genome